GGUCACGAGUAUCAGCGACAAGCCCCGGCUAGCUGGUCGGCAACCCUCCUCCGCGGUGGGGUGCUCCGGGUGACGACCUGGCCGCGCGCAAGGAGUGCGCGGCAAGCGCGAUUU
rnacentral:ncRNA from 2 species